UCUCCGUAGGUGAACCUGCGGAGGGAUCAUUACAAAGUUCAGGUCCUACCGGGUAGAUCUCUCACCAUACGUUUUGAGUACUUUGUUGCUUUGGCUGGCCGUUAGGCUCCGGCCCGACUACCGGCCCUGGCUGGUAACUCCCCGCCAGAAGAAUCGUAAGCCUUAAUAUUAAUGUCUUCUGAUUACUAUAUAGUAUUUAAAACUUCCAACAACGGAUCUCAUCGUUCUGGCUUCGAUGAAGAAACCCGCGGAACCUAAGCGCAAUCGUCGGACUAGUAG
rnacentral:misc_RNA from 1 species